rnacentral:rRNA from 1 species
AAAGGAAUAGACGGGGGCCCGCACAAGCAGUGGAGUAUGUGGUUUAAUUCGAAGCAACGCGAAGAACCUUACCAGGGCUUGACAUCCUACUAACGAAGCAGAGAUGCAUAAGGUGCCCUUCGGGGAAAGUAGAGACAGGUGGUGCAUGGUUGUCGUCAGCUCGUGUCGUGAGAUGUUGGGUUAAGUCCCGCAACGAGCGCAACCCUUACGGUUAGUUGCUACGCAAGAGCACUCUAGCCGGACUGCCGUUGACAAAACGGAGGAAGGUGGGGACGACGUCAAAUCAUCAUGCCCCUUAUGUCCUGGGCUACACACGUACUACAAUGGCGGCCACACAGAGGGAAGCAAAGCAGCGAUGCGGAGCAAAUCCCUAAAAGCCGCCCCAGUUCAGAUUGCAGGCUGAAACUCGCCUGCAUGAAGGCGGAAUUGCUAGUAAUCGCGGAUCAGCAUGCCGCGGUGAAUACGUUCCCGGGCCUUGUACACACCGCCCGU